rnacentral:rRNA from 1 species
CGUGUAGGCGGUCCGGUAAGUCCGCUGUGAAAGUCGGGGGCUCAACCCUCGAAAGCCGGUGGAUACUGUCGGGCUAGAGUACGGAAGAGGCGAGUGGAAUUCCUGGUGUAGCGGUGAAAUGCGCAGAUAUCAGGAGGAACACCAAUUGCGAAGGCAGCUCGCUGGGACGUUACUGACGCUGAGACGCGAAAGCGUGGGAGCAAACA